rnacentral:lncRNA from 1 species
CCGUGCGAUUCUACAGAGUGACCACAAGAAGAGCAACUCUCCAGAAAUCUUCAGGUGAAACCCUGCUCACCACCGUGUGCAGUUCAUCAACACCAGUAAAUGUUCUGCAAAGCUGGUUUGUCCCCAGCAGCCCUGGUGGAGCAGUAGUCAUCAGCACCAUCCAGGUUGUCUGACUGUGAAUAGAGUUAAUCAAGGCUCUUGAUUGCAGGAGAAGGCUGUGAUUAAGAUUGAAUCGCCAGUUGUGGCUAGAGAACUCCUUGCCAGAUACGGUGGG